AUUGAACGCUGGCGGCAGGCCUAACACAUGCAAGUCGAACGAGUGGCGGACGGGUGAGUAACGUCUGGGAAACUGCCCGAUGGAGGGGGAUAACUACUGGAAACGGUAGCUAAUACCGCAUACUAUCGGAUGUGCCCAGAUGGGAUUAGCUAGUAGGUGGGGUAAAGGCUCACCGGGGCGACGAUCCCUAGCUGGGCUGAGAGGAUGAUCAGCCACACUGGAACUGAGACACGGUCCAGACUCCUACGGGAGGCAGCAGUGGGGAAUAUUGGACAAUGGGCGAAAGCCUGAUGCAGCCAUGCCGCGUGUAUGAAGAAGGCCUGCGGGUUGUAAAGUACUUUCAGCGGGGAGGCGUUACCCGCAGAAGAAGCACCGGCUAACUACGUGCCAGCAGCCGCGGUAAUAC
rnacentral:rRNA from 1 species